AAGCCAUCAUGGGGCAUCUUCGAAGGGGUUCUUUGAAUCUCUCAUAUGCUUCAAAUAAUGUUCUGACUCUCUUUGCUUAAACACUGACAUUUCAUGCCUUAGCUU